GAAGGGCGCGAACGACGAGCGACGGCGACGGCGACCGGGCACGACAUCUCAUCCGCGGUGAACCAACACACACACACACGUCGGUCCGCGAGUUUCCCUUUGCAAACGUUUUCAGUGCGACUCGAACAACGGCCGCGGAUGCAGGGACGGCGGACUGCUGGUGCGCCGCACAAGCCAAAGAGACGAAUGUAAGCCGACGACCGGACUCCGAAACAACUCUGCACCUCGUCGGUUCGACGUCUACGCGAACACCACAUUCGAGAUCAAGAACUUGACGCGUAUUGGACAUACCGUCGUUUCACGAUCCAAGUACAUCUCACGGAUGCGGCGCCGACUUAUCACAUAGUGUCAUAGCAGCGGUUCAACAGCGGUAUACGCGGUACCUUAGGUAUAUUGACCUAUACUCGUCCGCAUUCGAUCGAGGCCCCGAGUAUACACGCCGCAUUCAAACCUCAGGUGGAAGGUGAAACGUGGGCCCCGUCGAUGUCGUAUCUCCGGAGAGCCGUUCGGACAUCGUCGGUCGUGUGUUCCACGCGGAAAUCAUAAGUAAUAAUAAUACGAAUAACGACGAUCAGUAAUAUUGAGAUAUUACGAACCGUCGUUAUUAUAAUAUUAUUGUUAUUACUCAUCACCUGCAGUCAGUCGUGCGGGCCGCAUAGAAUUUAAGGCGACAACAACACAACAGUAAUAAUUAUUAAUUUCUACGCAACACAUCAUCAGAAUCCGUUACCGCAAACGCAACAGUUAUAAUAUAGUGAGUAAAAACAAAAACAAAUUUAAAAAAAAAAAAAUCUCUAGUACCGUACCAGCCGAAAGAGUAAUUAUUGAUAUAAUCAUUAAUUGUAUCAUAUUAUAUUAUAUUAAAUGUGUGUGUGUAAUGUGUAUAUAUAAAACUAUAAUUUUUUUUUUGUCGUUCUCGUCAGUUGUGUGACCCGAGCGCGACACCACUGUCGAAAAUAGGCGAAGGUAUACAAAAUAUGUGUAUAAAUAUUAUUAAAAAAUUAUUUUUACUUAAUAUUGUUGUAUAUGCGUGAAAAAAAUUAAACUUUUCGUUCAACACGUUCUGUUAAAACCAAAAUGUCGUUUUCAUUUUUUUUUUUCUUUUUGUUUUCGUUUGCUCGCAGCACAUUACACGUCAUAAUAAUAGUGUAAUAAUACGCUGCAUAACGGCCACGAAAAAUAAUGCAUAUUAAUAAUAAUACACGAAUACUGCAUUAUCGAUAAUAAUGUAACAACCACAACGAUAAUACGACUACGUAUUAAUAAUAUAAUGUUAUAUACGUGUAUAAUAUAUAUAUAUAUAUGGUCCGGGAUUAAUUUCAGCGGCACGUAAUUAUUAUACUAUUUAAUAUUACGACACAAAUAUUGUAUAAGUCCAUAUUAUUAUUAUACUGAGCAGUCG